rnacentral:lncRNA from 1 species
GAAGGAUCUAAAUGUGUAUUCUUUUUUUUUUUUUUUUGUCAAAUGUUUCUUUUUACCAAGAAAUCUAAUGAUGUGUAGUGAGAAAAUAAUAAAAACUAUUAUUAGGGGAAAAGUAUAAAUAAGUGUAAUGAUUAGAAGCAAAUCAAGUAGUGCUCACAUGAGCGACAACCCAAUGUGCCCACGUGAAGCACCUUUUACCCCAUUUUCUGAUCCAACUACACCUCUUCGGUUU